AUAGUUACCAUUUGGUCCAUUGGACCAUUUCUUCAGCAAUUUGCAGGGGAGGAAAAAACAGAAGAACCGAAGAAACCCCAAUCACUUCCGGCUAGCAACGCUUCAUAGAGCAGAAAUGGGCAGCAACUUCAUAAGGAACGUCUGCAGGUACGAGACUAGACUUUGCGUUGCCUAUGAUCAAAUCACCGCGGAAGCUCAGUCCCUUACGAAACACCAACACUGGCGAGCCUAUGCUCGAUUUCCGAGUCAAUUUAGCAAAAUCAAAGGUCCCAGAACUUCAUCAUCUCAUCCGUGGUCAUUUUCAUCGUCAACGUCGUCAUCGUCGUCGUCGUCGUCGUCGUCGUCUCCUUCUUAUUCAAAAGCUGGUUUUGUGGGAUGGUAUUUGAGCAAGCUCGAAUCUCGCCCACUUAUCACAAAAAGUAUAUCAUCUUGUCUUAUUUAUACAGCUGCAGAUUUGACUUCCCAGAUGAUUACACUGCCACCUUUAGGUUCUUUCGACACUGUAAGGACAUUGCGCAUGGCAGCAUAUGGCUUGCUAAUUUUAGGGCCAAGCCAGCAUUUGUGGUUUAACCUUUUGUCAAAGAUUUUACCCAAGACGGAUCUGCUGACAACCCUGAAGAAAAUCAUUAUGGGACAGACUAUUUAUGGACCCGCUAUCACCACAAUUUUCUUCUCCUAUAAUGCUGGGUUACAAGGUGAAAGCGGUCAAGAGGUUGUUGCAAGAUUGAAGCGUGAUUUGCUGCCAACAUUUAAAAGUGGUGUUUUAUUCUGGCCGAUCUGUGAUUUUUUUACAUUCAAAUUUGUACCUGUUCAUUUACAGGUACGGAACUCACCUCUCUCUCUCUCUCUCUCCAUGGUUUUGACAAAGGGCCACUGAUGAACAGUUCUUGUUCGUAUGUAUGGACCAUUUAUUUGACAUACAUGGCGAGCUUAAAAAAGGUGGGCACCAAUUAGUAUUGGAAUGCUCAUGUAGAGUUGCACCCAUUCUCUGCUUCUAAUGAAACAGAGGAAGUCUUGUUGGCCACACUCUAUUCAGGUUAUUAUUUACAAACAUUGCAUCCGUACUUUCAUCUUCAACCGCUCUUGGUUCUAAACUUGUACAGAAUCGCAUUUGAUACGAGUAACUUGUUCAGACUUUUCUGUACAGAGUUUCUUGCAGCACUUGCAAUUCAAAUUACUCAGGCUUCGUUGA